UGGGGAAUUUUGGACAAUGGGCGCAAGCCUGAUCCAGCAAUGCCGCGUGCAGGAAGAAGGCCUUCGGGUUGUAAACUGCUUUUGUCAGGGAAGAAAUCUUCUGGGCUAAUACCCCGGGAGGAUGACGGUACCUGAAGAAUAAGCACCGGCUAACUACGUGCCAGCAGCCGCGGUAAUACGUAGGGUGCGAGCGUUAAUCGGAAUUACUGGGCGUAAGGCGUGCGCAGGCGGCUUUGCAAGACAGAUGUGAAAUCCCCGGGCUCAACCUGGGAACUGCAUUUGUGACUGCAAGGCUAGAGUACGGCAGAGGGGGAUGGAAUUCCGCGUGUAGCAGUGAAAUGCGUAGAUAUGCGGAGGAACACCGAUGGCGAAGGCAAUCCCCUGGGCCUGUACUGACGCUCAUGCACGAAAGCGUGGGGAGCAAACAGG
rnacentral:rRNA from 2 species